rnacentral:RNase_P_RNA from 1 species
AGCUGGCUAGAUGACCGCGCUUUUAAAAAGUGAGGAAAGUCCGAGCACCACAGGGCAAGGACGCCGGAUAACGUCCGGUGGAGGCGACUCCAAGGAAAGUGCAACAGAGAUAUACCGCAACUUCGGCUUUGCCGAAAUGUAAGGGUGGAAAGGCGAGGUAAGAGCUCACCGGUUUUCCAGGUAACUGGGAAAUCCUGUAAACCCCGUCCGGUGCAAGAUUGGUAGGGGAGCAUUCAAUAGCGGCCCGCUAAGCUUCAUGUAAUCGCAUGAGCCGUCUGGCGACAGGCGGCCUAGAUAGAUGGUCAUCCUUUGACAGAACUCGGCUUACGGCC